GAAAGGUAGAGCUUUUGGUUUUUCAUGUUGUCAAAGAGUUGAACAAUGAUUUUUCGUGUUGUAAAAGAUUUGAACAAUGAAAAUGGAUGGCGAGUGUCUGAUCGAAUUGAUCAGGUCAUGUAGGAACAAGGUUCAAGUCUACCAAUCUGUUAGGAUGCCUCAGUUGCAUACAUCAUUGCACUUUCAAUUGACACUUAUCGUAAUGAUAAAUGGCUCGUCUUGCCGUGGCCUUCUCUUGAAUUCACAAAACUUCUGUCGCUCCAUCCCUGCAGGGGCAGAGAACCUGUCGCUGUCUCGGUUGUGCUACCAGGUCCGGCUGAAAUAAUGAAAUAAC
rnacentral:lncRNA from 1 species